UCAUAUGAAUUAGCCAAAGAAGUAGUUUCUUGACAUGGAAUCUACUCCUAGUGAAGAUGCUCUGAA
rnacentral:pre_miRNA from 4 species